GAUCCCCUUUUCCAGUGGACUUGCUAGUGAAGAACUAAUAACUUACUAAGAUAAUGAACACUUCAGUCAGUCUGUUUGAAUUUUGUGUUAUAUAGAUCAGCACCUUCUGUGAUUUGGGGGCACUUUUAUGUGCAUAGAUACUUGGCACUUUGAGAAAUAUUCCAGCAGCUUUUUUGUGCAGGUGCAACAAGUCAGUUUUAGUAUCAACACUUUGAGAAAUAUAAAAUUCUAGUGCAACCUGUAUUUGCAUUCUGAGUUAGCUGCUUGAUUAGAUGCAUGCAUGCGUGCUUUAGAAAAAUACAUAUGCACAUGUGAAAUGGCUGCAUUGUUAAGGUCCAGUUCCAAACAAAUUUUGGCGGAAUUCAUUUAGUUAGUGUUGAUGCCAAGCUGAAAGAUAUUUUGGCAAUUCAUUCAGUUCCAUUCUUUGUCAUAUUUUGCAGCUUCAGGUGCUCAAUCAUGCCACUAGUUUCGUGAGAUGGAAAGGAGGGCAUUUCUUGCGGAAGAUGAACACACGGCAAGGUGUAUGCUAACGUAAGGAAUGCACAUAUCGGAGGUUCUUUAACCAUUAUAACUCUAGCUCUGGGCACUGGGAGAAGUUAAUUGUGAGACUUGAGCACAAGAGAGAGCACUUCAAGAGAUAAAGAGGAAGCAACAAAAAGAUGUGAAUAUGUGAAGAAGAUUCAGCAAGACAAGAGCGAAGCCCGAAAAAGAAGCCACACGAAAUGGAUAAACUGAUUGGCCUUCUCUUAAGGGCUCGAGCAACUUCGUAGUCCCAAUCCAAACUUGUGCAUGAAGGCCAUUGGGGCAACAAUUUUGUGGUCUUUAGUUCACUAAAUAUUAGUACUUUGCAACUUUUUAUUGUCGAGCUUGUGUAUCUGUGUUAUUUCUAUUUAGAGGAUGAUUUGGGUGAGAUAAUGGAAUUUAUAAUAUGAUUUGUCUUUUA